rnacentral:ncRNA from 1 species
CAAAGGUUUGGUCCUGGCCUUACUGUUAAUUCUUAUUAGACCUACACAUGCAAGUUUCCGCGCCCCAGUGAGAAUGCCCUCAAAACUAACUAAUAGUUUUUUAGGAGUGGGUAUCAGGCACACUCAAUGAGUAGCCCAUGACACCUUGCCUAGCCACGCCCCCACGGGAUACAGCAGUGACUAAUAUUGAGCUAUGAACGAAAGUUUGACUAAAUUAUAAUAAAGAGGGUUGGUCAAUAUCGUGCCAGCCACCGCGGUCAUACGAUUAACCCAAGUUAACAGAAAAACGGUGUAAAGCGUGUUUAAGCGAAAUAAAUAAAAUAAAGUUAAUACCUGACUAAGCUGUAAUACGCCAUAGUUAGUACUAAAAUACACAACUAACGUGACUUUACUAUAGAGCUGAAGACACUAAAGCUAAGGUACAAACUGGGAUUAGAUACCCCACUAUGCUUAGCCAUAAACUUAGGUAGUCGAAUAACGAGACUACUCGCCAGAGAACUACGAGCCACUGCUUAAAACUCAAAGGACUUGGCGGUGCCCUAAACCCUUCUAGAGGAGCCUGUUCUAUAAUCGAUAAACCCCGAUACACCUCACCCCUUCUAGCUCUAUCAGUCUAUAUACCGCCAUCGUCAGCUCACCCCAACAGGGGACAAAAGUGAGCAAGAUUAUGAAACCAUAAAAAYGUUAGGUCAAGGUGUAGCGUAUGGAGGGGGAAGCGAUGGGCUACAUUUUCUAAAUUAGAACAUAACGAAUUAUCUAUUGAAACANAGAUANNNAGGAGGAUUUAGUAGUAAAUUAAGAAUAGAGAGCUUAAUUGAAAAAGGCAAUGGGGUGCGUACACACCGCCCGUCACCCUCCUCGAAAAAGUAUUAAACCAUUCAUAAUACAAUNNCGAUAAAAAGAGGAGAAAAGUCGUAACAUGGUAAGUGUACUGGAAGGUGCACUUGGAACA